AUUGAACGCUGGCGGCAGGCCUAACACAUGCCAGUCGAGCGGAUGAAGGGAGCUUGCUCCUGGAUUCAGCGGCGGACGGGUGAGUAAUGCCUAGGAAUCUGCCUGGUAGUGGGGGAUAACGUCCGGAAACGGGCGCUAAUACCGCAUACGUCCUGAGGGAGAAAGUGGGGGAUCUCCGGACCUCACGCUAUCAGAUGAGCCUAGGUCGGAUUAGCUAGUUGGUGGGGUAAAGGCCUACCAAGGCGACGAUCCGUAACUGGUCUGAGAGGAUGAUCAGUCACACCGGAACUGAGACACGGUCCAGACUCCUACGGGAGGCAGCAGUGGGGAAUAUUGGACAAUGGGCGAAAGCCUGAUCCAGCCAUGCCGCGUGUGUGAAGAAGGUCUUCGGAUUGUAAAGCACUUUAAGUUGGGAGGAAGGGCAGUAAGUUAAUACCUUGCUGUUUUGACGUUACCAACAGAAUAAGCACCGGCUAACUUCGUG
rnacentral:rRNA from 1 species